GGCCGGGUAGUAUAAUGGUUUAGUGCGUUGGAUUGCAAAUCCACAAAUGAGAGUUCGAAUCUCUCUCUGGCCU
rnacentral:tRNA from 1 species